rnacentral:misc_RNA from 1 species
GAUGAAGAACGUAGCGAAAUGCGAUAAGUAAUGUGAAUUGCAGAAUUCAGUGAAUCAUCGAAUCUUUGAACGCACAUUGCGCCCGCCAGUAUUCUGGCUGGCAUGCCUGUUCGAGCGUCAUUACAACCCUCAGGCCCCCGGGCCUGGCGUUGGGGAUCGGCGGAGCCCCCCGUGGGCACACGCCGUCCCCCAAAUGCAGUGGCGGUCCCGCCGCAGCUUCCAUCGCGUAGUAGCUAACACCUCGCGACUGGAGAGCGGCGCGGCCACGCCGUAAAACACCCAACUCUUCUGAAGUUGACCUCGAAUCAGGUAGGAAUACCCGCUGAACUUAAGCAUAUCAAUAAGCGGAGGA